rnacentral:rRNA from 1 species
CCGGAUUGGAGUCUGCAACUCGACUCCAUGAAGUCGGAAUCGCUAGUAAUCGUGGAUCAGAAUGCCACGGUGAAUACGUUCCCGGGCCUUGUACACACCGCCCGUCACACCAUGGGAGUGGGUUGCAAAAGAAGUAGGUAGCUUAACCUUCGGGAGGGCGCUUACCACUUUGUGAUUCAUGACUGGGGUGAAGUCGUAACAAGGUAACCGUAGGGGAACCUGCGGUUGGAUCACCUCCUUA